rnacentral:rRNA from 1 species
GACGAACGCUGGCGGCGUGCUUAACACAUGCAAGUCGAACGGAAAGGCCCUGCUUUUGUGGGGUGCUCGAGUGGCGAACGGGUGAGUAACACGUGAGUAACCUGCCAUUGCCUUUGGGAUAACUUAAGGAAACUGGGGCUAAUACCGGAUAGGCGCUCCUGCUGCAUGGGGGGGGUUGGAAAGUUUCGGCGGUUUGGGAUGGACUCGCGGCUUAUCAGCUGGUUGGUGGGGUGGUGGCUUACCAAGGCAUUGCCGGGUGGCCGGCCUGGGAGGGUGACCGGCCACAUUGGGCCUGGGAUCCGGCCCAGCCUCCUACGGGGGGCAGCAGUGGGGAAUAUUGCACAAGGGGCGGAAGCCUGAUGCAGCAACGCCGCGUGCGGGUUGACGGCCUUCGGGUUGUAAACCGCUUUCGCCUGUGACGAAGCGUGAGUGACGGUAAUGGGUAAAGAAGCACCGGCUAACUACGUG